rnacentral:lncRNA from 10 species
AUACCACACACCCAGAUACACCACCCCACACCCCAACACACACCACACACAACACACCCACACAUACAACACACACACCCUAACACAUCACACACACUACACACCCACACACAACAUCCAACACACACCGACACAGAUAUACUACACACCCACACACCCCAACACACACCACACACACAUACACACCAUACACCACACACACAGAUACACCAACACCCACACACCACACACACCAGCCAGGCAGCCUGGGCUGCCAGGUUCAGUUCAGUGAAAUUUAUUGGAGAAUGAAAAAAGUCA